UACGUAGGUGGCAAGCGUUGUCCGGAAUUAUUGGGCGUAAAGCGCGCGCAGGUGGUUCCUUAAGUCUGAUGUGAAAGCCCACGGCUCAACCGUGGAGGGUCAUUGGAAACUGGGGAACUUGAGUGCAGAAGAGGAAAGUGGAAUUCCAAGUGUAGCGGUGAAAUGCGUAGAGAUUCGGAAGGAACACCAGUGGCGAAAGGCGGCUUCACGU
rnacentral:rRNA from 1 species